rnacentral:rRNA from 1 species
UGAAUACGAGACGCUAAGGCGUCGAAGUAGUGUAUGUCAUACUUCCAAGAAAAGCUUGCACUGUCAUAGAUAAAAAACGCCUGUACCAUAACCGACACAGGUGGGUAGGUAGAGUAUACUAAGGGGCGCGAGAUAACUCUCUCUAAGGAACUCGGCAAAAUAACUCCGUAACUUCGGGAGAAGGAGUGCCUUAUUCGUAAGGUUGCAAUAACAAGAUCCAAGCAACUGUUUAUCAAAAACACAGGUCUCCGCUAAGUCGUAAGACGAUGUAUGGGGGCUGACGCCUGCCCAGUGCCAGAAGGUUAAAGAAGUUGGUUAGCAAUUGCGAAGCUGAUAACUGAAGCCCUGGUGAACGGCGGCCGUAACGAUAACGGUCCUAAGGUAGCGAAAUUCCUUGUCGGGUAAGUUCCGACCCGCACGAAAGGCGUAAUGAUUUGGAUACUGUCUCGGAGAGGGGCUCGGUGAAAUAGACUUGUCUGUGAAGAUGCGGACUACCUGCACCAGGACAGAAAGACCCUAUGAAGCUUUACUGUAACUUGAAAUUGAAAUUGGACUUUAUUCGCGCAGUAUAGGUGGGAGGCGUUGAUUAUAAUCUUGUGGGAUUAUUGGAGCCAUCAGUGAGAUACCACUCUUGUAAUGUUAGAUUUCUAACUUUGAAUCAUUAUCUGGUCAAAGAACAGUUUCAGGCGGGCAGUUUGACUGGGGCGGUCGCCUCCUAAACGGUAACGGAGGCGUACAAAGGUUUCCUCUGAACGGUUAGAAAUCGUAUCUAGAGUGUAAAGGCAUAAGGAAGCUUGACUGUGAGACCUACAAGUCGAGCAGGGACGAAAGUCGGUCUUAGUGAUCUGACGGUACUGAGUGGAAAGGCCGUCACUCAACGGAUAAAAGUUACUCUAGGAUAACAGGCUGAUCUCCCCCAAGAGUUCACAUCGACGGGGAGGUUUGGCACCUUGAUGUCGGCUCAUCGCAUCCUGGGGCGGUAGUACGUCCCAAGGGUUGGGCUGUUCGCCAUGAAAGCGGUACGCGAGCUGGGUUCAGAACGUCGUGAGACAGUUCGGUCCAUAUCCGGUGUGGGCGUUAGAAUAUUGAGAGGAGCCUUCUUUAGUACGAGAGGACCGAGAAGGACAUACCUCUGGUGUACCAGUUAUCGUGCCAACGGUAAACGCUGGGUAGCUAUGUAUGGAGUGGAUAACCGCUGAAAGCAUCUAAGUGGGAAGCCCACCUCAAGAUAAG